CACCCGCACGUAUAGAUGGACAAGAAUAGGCUUCGGCUUAGCGUCUUAGCAGGCGAUUCUUCCACGGCGCUCGAAGCGCGUCGUGGUAUUUCGCGUAUUGUAAUUUCAACACGAGCGGGGUCAAAUCCUUUGCAGACGACUUAGCUGUGCGAAACGGUCCUGUAAGCAGUAGAGUAGCCUUGUUGUUACGAUCUGCUGAGGGUAAGCCGUCCUUCGCCUCGAUUUCCCCAAUGGGUUCUCCGGAUUUCUGGAGACUUGUAGGGGUUGUGGGAUUUUUGAUGUGUCGUCUCCGGACGGGCGGUGCAGGGUAGUCGAGUUAGACUUGGUGGAAUUCCGUCGAUAGGAGUUCCGUCGAGUCUGGUCGGCUGCUUGGACAUGGUCGGUUCGAGGAUCGAUUCGAGGGCCGGCCUGUCGAUGAUGUGUGAUGUAUGCGGUCUAGGGUAGGCUGGUUUGUCUUGGUUCAAUUUGAUGUCGGCUCCCGUGCAGGCCAGAGUGAAGGGGGGUCCAGGGUAGGUACAGGGUAGGCAGCUUAGAUUUGGUCGAUCUGGAGGUCGAUUCUCCGGCUGGCGGAUCUGACACUGUCGAAAUGAGAUGCGAGUGGUGUAGGGUAGGCUCUAGGGUAAGUAGAAUUCUAGUUUCGUCGCCGACAGUUUUCUUUGGGUGUAUGGUAGGUACAGGGUAGGCAAAUCUCUCUCGGGCCAGUACUUGUCUGGUGGUCGUGAGUCGAUUUUUUUGUUUUGCCAUACUAUUGAAUUUUGCGGAAAUUCAAAAGUGGCUCGGGAGUCCCGCCUGGCGAGCGUCCGACUCGAACAUCGUCGGUGUACAUAUGAGAGGGAGUAAUCCGGCCCGGCCGGGGCCCAUCGCGAGCUGCCGGGUAGGUAAAAGUAAAAAAGUUGUUAAGAGGCGCGGUGUCGGCGUGCUUGUAUUUGCGGGAGGGAAUUAUCUGGGGGUGCUGGGUAGCCGGGAAGACUUGGACGGAUCUGGCCCUGGAAUGGGUCUGGGCCUGGAUUCUGGAGUGGUGUAGGGUAGGCGUAGAUAGAUGAGUGGUGUAGGGUAGAUACAGGGUAGCCAGAAGUCUGGUAUAUAGUAUGGGGGUGUAGGGUAGGUCUGGACACCGUUUUCCACUUCGCCCUUCCCUUUAGUCAAGGGAGGACGAUCUUGGCUGGGACGGAGGUGUAGGGUAGGCUUAAUUUACUAUUACAUGAUCUGUGUCACUCUAGGGUAGGUGAAAAUCCCAUAUAUAUCUGAUCACAUUUGGUGAAGAGGUGGUUUGGCUGGUGAGAUGGACAAAAGUGCAAUGUAGAAUUAUAUGUGAUUUUGCAAAAGUGGGUGUGAAAUUGGGAAAUCGGUUUUCCCGCACAGAUGAGAGCACGUUUGAGGUGCCAUGAGAUGCACCUCUCCGAGACGACCUCAACGGUACCACCCAUGUGUUGGUCGGGCUCCUGUGCGGCCGUCCAGGGCGGGAUAAGUAGAGAAUGUGGUGGUGUAGGGUAGGUGACCAGGUCCAGGGUAGGUUCGCCAAAUCCGUCAAUCCGGCUUGGAUCGAAGGACAGGUCUAGGGUAGACCAGAGUCGGGUCUAGGGUAGGCAACUCUCACCCUCGGAGUGGUCUACCCGGUAGCCAACUUCAAUCGCCUCUCACGGCCGCCACGGACCUCGCAUGACGACGGGACUACCACCAUCGGAUUCGCCUUGGUCGAAAUAGCUGGUAUAUGCACUUUUGAAAAAAUGCGUGCAAAAUGGUUUUGUGGUUUGGUGGCCGUGAGUCGAUUUUUUUGUUUUCCCAUACAAAUGAAUUUUGCGGAAAAUAAAAAGUGGCCCACGAGGCAGUCCUGGCGUGCGGCCCACUAAAACGGUCUCGGAGGGUAUAUGAGAAGGGAGCAAAUCCGGCCGAGCCUGAAAGGGUGAGGACAAACCGGGCGAGCAACCUCUCAGUAUCAGAUCUUGCAGACUUCCACUGCGUGUCCCUCUGUACAGCUUUGCAGGCUCCGGCCUCGGCAGCGGGGGGUUCAUAGUGGUCGUCGACCUCCACGAAACUGCACGCUCCGGCGUGACAGCGUACUGGGGAUGCCUGUGUAGAUGCAGUCCGGGCUUGCCUGGACCGCUAGCAGAUGGGCUCUGUGGAUGACUGGCCGCUGGCUAGACCUGAAACCUGAGCAACGGGAGGUAACCUCUCGCCGCGGACACCGGAAUGGUAGAAGCGGCGUGCUGCGUCCUCCUCUUGGGGCCCCUAAGCCACACCUCCCACAGCGGGUUCGGUGCGGCGGACGGACGCCCUGGGGAAUUUAGAGGGGGAAAGCGGAUUGCCCUAGCGGUGUUGUUGGCCCUGCCGACCUCACUGCGAAAGGCGCGACUUCACCGUCGCCACCCAGUAACUUGUCUCUCCGGCGCUUCACGGCGCUGGUGGCCAACCCCGGC
rnacentral:misc_RNA from 1 species